rnacentral:rRNA from 1 species
GAUGAACGCUGGCGGCGUGCCUAAUACAUGCAAGUCGAGCGAACAGACGAGGAGCUUGCUCCUCUGACGUUAGCGGCGGACGGGUGAGUAACACGUGGAUAACCUACCUAUAAGACUGGGAUAACUUCGGGAAACCGGAGCUAAUACCGGAUAAUAUAUUGAACCGCAUGGUUCAAUAGUGAAAGACGGUUUUGCUGUCACUUAUAGAUGGAUCCGCGCCGCAUUAGCUAGUUGGUAAGGUAACGGCUUACCAAGGCAACGAUGCGUAGCCGACCUGAGAGGGUGAUCGGCCACACUGGAACUGAGACACGGUCCAGACUCCUACGGGAGGCAGCAGUAGGGAAUCUUCCGCAAUGGGCGAAAGCCUGACGGAGCAACGCCGCGUGAGUGAUGAAGGUCUUCGGAUCGUAAAGCUCUGUUAUUAGGGAAGAACAAAUGUGUAAGUAACUGUGCACGUCUUGACGGUACCUAAUCAGAAAGCCACGGCUAACUACGUG